rnacentral:rRNA from 1 species
AUGAACGCUGGCGGCGCGCCUAACACAUGCAAGUCGAACGAUUAAAGCACCUUCGGGUGUGUAUAAAGUGGCGAACGGCUGAGUAACACGUGGGCAACCUGCCCCUCUCAUUGGGAUAGCCACGGGAAACCGUGGAUAAUACCGAAUACUUCGGGACUUCCGCAUGGAAGACUCGAGAAAGCUCCGGCGGAGAGGGAUGGGCCCGCGGCCUGUUAGCUUGUUGGUGGGGUAAUGGCCUACCAAGGCAAUGAUGGGUAGCUGGGUUGAGAGACCGACCAGCCAGAUUGGGACUGAGACACGGCCCAGACUCCUACGGGAGGCAGCAGUGGGGAAUCUUGCACAAUGGGCGAAAGCCUGAAGCAGCGACGCCGCGUGCGGGAUGAAGGCCUUCGGGUUGUAAACCGCUUUCAGCAGGGACGAGGCGAAAGUGACGGUACCUGCAGAAGAAGCCCCGGCUAACUACGUG